rnacentral:rRNA from 1 species
UACGUAGGGGGCUAGCGUUGUCCGGAAUCAUUGGGCGUAAAGCGCGUGUAGGCGGUCCGGUAAGUCCGCUGUGAAAGUCGGGGGCUCAACCCUCGGAUGCCGGUGGAUACUGUCGGGCUUGAGUACGGAAGAGGCGAGUGGAAUUCCUGGUGUAGCGGUGAAAUGCGUAGAUAUCUGGAGGAAUACCGGUGGCGAAGGCGGCAUCCUGGACCGACAUUGACGCUGAGGAGCGAAAGCUAGGGUAGCAAACAGG